rnacentral:rRNA from 1 species
GAUGAACGCUGGCGGCGUGCCUAAUACAUGCAAGUCGAGCGAACGGACGAGAAGCUUGCUUCUCUGAUGUUAGCGGCGGACGGGUGAGUAACACGUGGAUAACCUACCUAUAAGACUGGGAUAACUUCGGGAAACCGGAGCUAAUACCGGAUGAUAUUUUGAACCGCAUGGUUCAAAAGUGAAAGACGGUCUUGCUGUCACUUAUAGAUGGAUCCGCGCUGCAUUAGCUAGUUGGUAAGGUAACGGCUUACCAAGGCAACGAUGCAUAGCCGACCUGAGAGGGUGAUCGGCCACACUGGAACUGAGACACGGUCCAGACUCCUAAGGGAGGCAGCAGUAGGGAAUCUUACGCAAUGGGCGAAAGCCUGACGGAGCAACGCCGCGUGAGUGAUGAAGGUCUUCGGAGCGUAAAACUCUGUUAUUAGGGAAGAACAUAUGUGUAAGUAACUGUGCACAUCUUGACGGUACCUAAUCAGAAAGCCACGGCUAACUACGUG